GCAUAUCAAUAAGCGGAGGAAAAGAAACCAACCGGGAUUGCCCCAGUAACGGCGAGUGAAGCGGCAAGAGCUCAAAUUUGAAAUCUGGCCCCCCCGGGGCCCGAGUUGUAAUUUGCAGAGGAUGCUUCGGGUGCGGCCCCUGUCUAAGUGCCCUGGAACGGGCCGUCAGAGAGGGUGAGAAUCCCGUCUUGGGCAGGGUGCCCGUGCCCGUGUGAAGCUCCUUCGACGAGUCGAGUUGUUUGGGAAUGCAGCUCUAAAUGGGUGGUAAAUUUCAUCUAAAGCUAAAUACCGGCCGGAGACCGAUAGCGCACAAGUAGAGUGAUCGAAAGAUGAAAAGCACUUUGAAAAGAGAGUUAAAUAGCACGUGAAAUUGUUGAAAGGGAAGCGCUUGCGACCAGACUCGCCCCCGGGGUUCAGCCAGCACUCGUGCUGGUGUACUUCCCCGUGGGCGGGCCAGCGUCGGUUCGGGGGGCCGGUCAAAGGCCCCGGGAAUGUAUCGCCCUCCGGGGCGUCUUAUAGCCCGGGGUGCAAUGCGGCCAGCCCGGACCGAGGAACGCGCUUCGGCACGGACGCUGGCGUAAUGGUCGCAAACGACCCGUCUUGAAACACGGACCAAGGAGUCUAACAUCUACGCGAGUGUUCGGGUGUCAAACCCGUACGCGCAGUGAAAGCGAACGGAGGUGGGAGCCCCCCCGGGGGCGCACCAUCGACCGAUCCUGAUGUCUUCGGAUGGAUUUGAGUACGAGCGUAGCUGUGGGGACCCGAAAGAUGGUGAACUAUGCCUGAAUAGGGCGAAGCCAGAGGAAACUCUGGUGGAGGCUCGCAGCGGUUCUGACGUGCAAAUCGAUCGUCAAAUUUGGGUAUAGGGGCGAAAGACUAAUCGAACCAUCUGGUAGCUGGUUCCUGCGA
rnacentral:rRNA from 1 species